GCCUAAUACAUGCAAGUCGAACGGUAACAGGUGUAGCAAUACAUGCUGACGAGUGGCGCACGGGUGCGUAACACGUAUGCAACCUACCUAUAACUGGGGAAUAGCCUUCCGAAAGGAAGAUUAACACCGCAUAACAUCAUUCUACGGCAUCGCAGGAUGAUCAAACCUCCGGGGGUUAUAGAUGGGCAUGCGUAACAUUAGCUAGUUGGUGAGGUAACGGCUCACCAAGGCUACGAUGUUUAGGGGGUCUGAGAGGAUGAUCCCCCACACUGGUACUGAGACACGGACCAGACUCCUACGGGAGGCAGCAGUAAGGAAUAUUGGACAAUGGGGGCAACCCUGAUCCAGCCAUGCCGCGUGAAGGAUGAAGGCCCUCUGGGUUGUAAACUUCUUUUGUACGGGAAUAAACCCCUCUACGUGUAGAGGGUUGAAUGUACCGUAAGAAUAAGGAUCGGCUAACUUCGUGCCAGCAGCCGCGGUAAUACGAAGGAUCCAAGCGUUAUCCGGAUUUAUUGGGUUUAAAGGGUGCGUAGGCGGGCUAUUAAGUCAGUGGUGAAAUCCCCAAGCUUAACUUGGGAAUUGCCAUUGAUACUGAUGGUCUUGAGUACACUUGAAGUGGGCGGAAUGUGUCAUGUAGCGGUGAAAUGCUUAGAUAUGACACAGAACACCGAUUGCGAAGGCAGCUCACUAAAUUGUAACUGACGCUGAGGCACGAAAGCGUGGGGAUCAAACAGGAUUAGAUACCCUGGUAGUCCACGCCCUAAACGAUGAUUACUCGAUGUGUGCAAUACACCGUACGCGUCUGAGCGAAAGCAUUAAGUAAUCCACCUGGGGAGUACGACCGCAAGGUUGAAACUCAAAGGAAUUGACGGGGGCCCGCACAAGCGGAGGAGCAUGUGGUUUAAUUCGAUGAUACGCGAGGAACCUUACCAGGGCUUGAAAGUUAAGGAAUGAUGUAGAAAUAUGUCAGUCAGCAAUGACCUAAAACUAGGUGCUGCAUGGCUGUCGUCAGCUCGUGCCGUGAGGUGUUCGGUUAAGUCCGCAAACGAGCGCAACCCUCGGCGUUAGUUACACGUGUCUAACGC
rnacentral:rRNA from 1 species